UGGCUUAGGAUGAACGCUAGCGACAGGCCUAACACAUGCAAGUCGAGGGGCAGCACAAGGAGCAAUCUGAGGUGGCGACCGGCGCACGGGUGAGUAACACGUAUGCAACCUGCCUGUAAGCGGGGAAUAACCCGUUGAAAGACGGACUAAUACCGCAUAAUACUAAAUUACUGCAUGGUAAUUUAUUUAAACAUUUAUGGCUUACAGAUGGGCAUGCGCAUGAUUAGCUAGUUGGAGAGGUAACGGCUCCCCAAGGCAACGAUCAUUAGGGGUUCUGAGAGGAAGGUCCCCCACACUGGUACUGAGACACGGACCAGACUCCUACGGGAGGCAGCAGUGAGGAAUAUUGGUCAAUGGACGAGAGUCUGAACCAGCCAAGUCGCGUGCAGGAAGAAUGUUCCCUAUGGAUUGUAAACUGCUUUUGCAGGGGAAUAAAGUGCAUCACGUGUGAUGUUUUGUAUGUACUCUGCGAAUAAGGAUCGGCUAACUCCGUGCCAGCCGCAGC
rnacentral:rRNA from 1 species